ACGCUGGCGGCGUGCCUAGUACAUGCAAGUCGGACGCAUCACCUUGGUGAUGAGUGGCGAACGGGUGAGUAAUACAUAAGCAACCUGCCCUUUCGAGGGGGAUAACAGCUGGAAACGGCUGCUAAGACCGCAUAGGCAUGGAGACCGCAUGGUCUGCAUGUUAAAUAUCCCACGGGAUAGCGAGAGGAUGGGCUUAUGACGCAUUAGCUGGAUGGUGAGGUAGCGGCUCACCAUGGCGACGAUGCGUAGCCGGCCUGAGAGGGUGAACGGCCACACUGGGACUGAGACACGGCCCAGACUCCUACGGGAGGCAGCAGUAGGGAAUUUUCGGCAAUGGGCGAAAGCCUGACCGAGCAACGCCGCGUAAGGGAGGAAGUCCUUCGGGAUGCAGACCUCUGUUAUAAAGGAAGAACGGCAUAGUCAGGGAAUGGGCUAUGAGUGACGGUACUUUAUGAGAAAGCCACGGCUAACUACGUGCCAGCAGCCGCGGUAAUACGUAGGUGGCGAGCGUUAUCCGGAAUCAUUGGGCGUAAAGAGGGAGCAGGCGGUCAUGCAGGUCUGAGGUGAAAGCCCGAAGCUAAACUUCGGCGAGCCUUGGAAACCGAAUGACUGGAGUGCGGUAGAGGAACGUGGAAUUCCAUGUGUAGCGGUGAAAUGCGUAGAUAUAUGGAGGAACACCAGUGGCGAAGGCGACGUUCUGGGCCGCAACUGACGCUCAGUCCCGAAAGCGUGGGGAGCAAAUAGGAUUAGAUACCCUGGUAGUCC
rnacentral:rRNA from 1 species